rnacentral:misc_RNA from 1 species
GCAGCCGCGGUAAUUCCAGCUCCAAUAGCGUAUAUUAAAGUUGUUGCAGUUAAAAAGCUCGUAGUUGAAUUUCGGGAUCAAAUUGUUGGUCGUGCCUCGGUACGCACUGGUAUUAUUGGUUCCUACCUUCUGAAGAACCGCGAUGUCAUUAAUUUGGUGUCGUGGGGAAUCAGGACUGUUACUUUGAAAAAAUUAGAGUGUUUAAAGCAGGCUUACGCUUGAAUACAUUAGCAUGGAAUAAUGAAAUAGGACGUUUGAUUCUAUUUUGUUGGUUUCUAGGAUUGACGUAAUGAUUAAUAGGGAUAGUUGGGGGCAUUAGUAUUCAAUUGUCAGAGGUGAAAUUCUUGGAUUUAUUGAAGACUAACUACUGCGAAAGCAUUUGCCAAGGAUGUUUUCAUUAAUCAAGAACGAAAGUUAGGGGAUCGAAGACGAUCAGAUACCGUCGUAGUCUUAACCAUAAACUAUGCCGACUAGGGAUCGGAUGAUGUUAAUUUUUUAAUGACUCAUUCGGCGCCUUACG